rnacentral:lncRNA from 1 species
UUUUUUUUUUUUUUUUUUUUUUCUCCUAGUGGAAAAUAAUAGUAAAUAUGCUGAAUUUUAAAAGUAUUUAAGAGUCAGUUUCAAGGACCGUUUUAAGGGUCUGUUUAAAAAGUGUGUGUUCAUUCUUCAUGCAAGCUAUUAGUGAAAACGAAUGAUUCUCUCUCUCACCUUCUCUCCUUUACAGCAGGCCGUUAAUGCUUUGAGGCUUUUAGGUAGCCGUGAUCCAGUUCUGUAAAGCUUUGGAUAAGGAAUGGCUUUAACUUCCCAUCUCUAAUCUCUCCUUUCCCAUGUCUUAAUUUUGAGCUUUCAUUACUCUGAUAAUAAGCAGACAUUUCUGAAAAUGGAAAAGCCUUCAGUUCCCCUUUUGUGUCUCUUCCUGACACUGUCUUUCUUCCCUGAGAGCAGUAAAUAGGUCAGAAAUUUUGGGGAGCAGUAAAUAGGUCAGAAAGUCAACCUCUGUUCCUGACUUCAGUGCUCUGACCCAAGUAUGUGGCCUUUCCCAUUAGCGGGUAGGCAGAUUUAUGGAGCCCCACAGCCAGGAAAGCCAGUGGAUUUGACUUGAGAAACUGGGAAGAAUCUAGCCUUCCCAGAUUGGAAUGUCAGUUAUAAAAAUCCAAGCUAGCGCAGACCAUUGUCCUAAGACAAGCCUGGACAUAGUUCUCGAGAGGUAUGUUUAUAGGCAUUUUGAGGUCUGAAUAGCAAGGCUAGAUCAGAUUUAAUAUCUGAGUUACCUAAUACUAGAAAGAAUUUAGUCCAUCAGGAGACUCAGGCAGGACUUGUUGUUUCAUCAAGAAUGGAACAGUUGAUUUUGGUUUCUUCAACAAGGGUUUCCUACUUCUUAUAUUAGUCACCUCAAAGGAUUUUUUUUUAUUGUUUUUUAAUUGUUUUCAUUGUUGUUAUUAUUUUGGCUUUAUUGCCGAAGUAAGUAGACUAAAGUACAUUUUUGUCUUAAAAAGUGUUGUCUAUUUAAUCCCUGUUUUCUGGACAGCAGUGGUCUGUUAAAGCUUUAUCCAGUAAGAGAGUUUAGGCAGACAAGAUGUUUGGGAGUUUGAGGUUCCGUACCCUGCAGGGAAACUUUGUGGAAAAGAAGAGAGAUGCUACCUCCUUAGCUACAGACUCUUUCAUUUCAGUGUCCCAUUUCCUCUCUGGGACAAGGGGAGAGUUCUUGGCACAAAAGAUACUAACAACCGACUUUCUGGGAAUCUGUGUAAAUGACAACUUGUAUGGCUUUCAACUUCCCUAAGCUAGCAUAAUGGGUAGAUUAAUAUGUUCCUUCUUGGCAGGAAUGGAAACUAAUUUUUUAAAAGAAGGAGGAAAAAACAUGUUGUGCUAAAUCAGUGAUUGCCAUGGCAACAGGUACUCUAUACAUGUUAGAGAAAGAGGAAAAAUGCAAUCAGUUCUCUGGAGAGGAAGAGAGCAGAAAUCAGUUCACAAACUUUUUUUUCGUGAAUGAACAAAUACAUAUUGGACAGUCUUCAUGUGUUCUGGAUAAUCUUAUCAAAGAAUAUAGCAGAAAGUUGAUGAUAAAAUUAAAUCUGUCAUCUGCUUUGUUACAAUGAUCUCUUUUGAUCUGAGCCGCAUCUGCAACCUACACCACAGCUCACGGCAACGCCAGAUCAUUAACCCACUGAGCAAGGGCAGGGACUGAACCUGCAACCUCAUGGUUCCUAGUCGGAUUCAUUAACCAUGCGCCACGAUGGGAACUCCCCAUAGUAUUUCUUACUUGCAUAGGGAGAUUAUAUUUUGCCUACAUUUAUUGGUAAAUGAGCUCAAACACUUCUGUGUCCUAAAUUUGCCAAAACAUUGCCUUUCUUGGAAAUCCGUAGUUAUGGAGGAGGUUUCUAGCUGUUUUGUUCUCUGUUUAGUAAUGCCCAGUUGCAAGGUAGAUAAGAUAAUCUCUUGAGAUUUCUUCUUAUCUGAAGUCCUAUGAAAAAAACAUCAUUUGGUAUAUAGAUUUUUUUAAGAGAAGGCAGCCAGCAUUUUGCUCUCUCCACUUGAGGAUUGAAUGAGAAGAAAUGACAUUGAACUUGAUCCUAGAUAACUUAGUUUAGCUCUGUGUAAGAACAUCCCAGUGAUAAAGUACAUUUAGUCACUAGAAUGAUAUUGGUGGUGAUGGAGGCUGGUGACCUAAGGCUGAGGGCUCUGCCUGGGAAAAAAGUGGACUCCGGGAUCUCUGUCACUGUUGUGAUGGGAUCAGCCUUUUUGUCUACAUGACUGCAGUGUAUCAGCUGAAAAAUGAGGGCAUUUGAUUUGGCUGUCUGCUAUGUUUCCUAGAAGGUUCAGUAAUUCUGGGAUCUGAGACUAAGAGUUCUACAGUGUGGAGGCUGAAUGAUUGAUAAGGGCUCUUCUGAUCCCAGAAGACUUUGCAGUAAGGGCUCU